AGCGAACGCUGGCGGCAGGCCUAACACAUGCAAGUCGAACGAACUCUUCGGAGUUAGUGGCGGACGGGUGAGUAACACGUGGGAACGUGCCUUUGGGUUCGGAAUACCUCGGGGAAACUGGUGCUAAUACCGAAGGGGCCCUUCGGGGGAAAGAUUUAUCGCCUUUAGAGCGGCCCGCGUCUGAUUAGCUAGUUGGUGAGGUAAAGGCUCACCAAGGCGACGAUCAGUGGCUGGUCUGAGAGGAUGAUCAGCCACAUUGGGACUGAGACACGGCCCAAACUCCUACGGGAGGCAGCAGUGGGGAAUCUUGCGCAAUGGGCGAAAGCCUGACGCAGCCAUGCCGCGUGAAUGAUGAAGGUCUUAGGAUUGUAAAAUUCUUUCACCGGGGACGAUAAUGACGGUACCCGGAGAAGAAGCCCCGGCUAACUUCGUG
rnacentral:rRNA from 1 species